rnacentral:rRNA from 1 species
CGUCUAGGCGGACCGGUCAGUCGGCUGUGAAAUCCCUCGGCUUAACCGAGGAACGGCAUCCGAUACUGCCGAUCUUGAGGACGAGAGGGGAGAGUGGAACUCCUGGUGGAGCGGUGAAAUGCGUAGAUAUCAUGAGGAACGCCGGUGGCGAAAGCGACUCUCUGGCUCGUACCUGACGCUGAAGCGCGAAAGCUAGGGGAGCGAACG